rnacentral:lncRNA from 1 species
CUCAUCAUCACUCAUAAUUCAUAAAUAUACCAGCUACCCAUUAAUUUUUAUAUAUGAAUUGACAUCGUUUGGUGCACAUAUAUUUUAUCGUUAUAUAUACGCAUGGAUUGUUGGAUUAACUGCAUGUUUAAGUGGGUGUGAGAUUUUAGUGGGUGUGGGUGUAUUUAGCGCAUUGGCCAUCCUACUAUGUAGAAGUGCGCCGGAAUAGAACGGUGUUACUUAUUUAUAGUGCCGUCGGCGCUUGCUUCAUGAUGUGGGUUUCCACUGUGUUAAAGACCUUGAGGUGACACCUGGACACUUACCUGGAUAACAUUUUUUAAUGUAGAGUUUGGGGAAGAUUUUGUAUAAAUUUUCUACAUUAACACUGGGACUAUUAACUAGUUAAUAGUUCAAGAUUAACCUGAUCUUUUUUUAAUGUUAUGUUUUUGAAGAAAUUUUAUCAAUUUACUCAG